rnacentral:rRNA from 1 species
ACGAACGCUGGCGGCGUGCCUCAUACAUGCAAGUCGCACGCUUCUUUCCUCCCGAGUGCUUGCACUCAAUUGGAAAGAGGAGUGGCGGACGGGUGAGUAACACGUGGGUAACCUACCCAUCAGAGGGGGAUAACACUUGGAAACAGGUGCUAAUACCGCACAACAGUUUAUGCCGCAUGGCAUAAGAGUGAAAGGCGCUUUCGGGUGUCGUUGAUGGAUGGACCCGCGGUGCAUUAGCUAGUUGGUGAGGUAACGGCUCACCAAGGCCACGAUGCAUAGCCGACCUGAGAGGGUGAUCGGCCACACUGGGACUGAGACACGGCCCAGACUCCUACGGGAGGCAGCAGUAGGGAAUCUUCGGCAAUGGACGAAAGUCUGACCGAGCAACGCCGCGUGAGUGAAGAAGGUUUUCGGAUCGUAAAACUCUGUUGUUAGAGAAGAACAAGGACGUUAGUAACUGAACGUCCCCUGACGGUAUCUAACCAGAAAGCCACGGCUAACUACGUG